rnacentral:misc_RNA from 1 species
GAGAGAGAGAAAUGAAGUCCAGAUAUUAUAUACAUAGAAAAGAUUUCAGACAUUGUCUAAAUAUCUUCACCUGUAAAAGCUAUUUGGCACUUCAAUUAUGCUUGGUGUGCAAUUAUCCAUCACCUUUUUCUUGCGCAAUCUGAUUACCAUAGUCAACGACCAACAGACUUGAAGGAUUCAGUAAAUGUAAUUGAAGGUGUACUAUAACUCAAUAUGGCAGGUUUAUAGGACUCUCCUUUCUGAUCUUGACCCAGAACAUGAAAAUCAAAAUUCUCAGGGAGUGAAGCAUCGCCCUUGAGGUACUGCAGAACUUGUGACAUCCUUGGCCUAAUUUCUGCCAUGGGAUGCGAACAAAGUAGUCCAAGCUUCAAAACUAGUUCAGCCUCUUCAAUCUUGAUAUCUUUGUUCAGUUUGGGAUCCACAGUACUCAAGAUUUUCCCUUCCCUCCAACGCUGGUAUACCCAAUCCACUAAUGCCACCUCUUCCGGUGACACUCGUGACUCCACUGGCCUUCUACCACAUACUACUUCCAAGCAAAAUGCCCCAUAUGCAUAAACAUCAGUACUUGGGGUUGCCCUGCCAUUUUUUGCAAGCUCGGGUGCAAUGUAGCCAAAGGUGCCGGCUACAUGAGUAGUUUGAGGAUCCUGUGUGCGUUUGCUACUUCUUGCAAGCCCAAAAUCUCCCAAUUUCGCUCUCAAGUCACUAUCUAAUAACACAUUGCUGGCCUUUAUAUCUCUAUGAACAAUAACUUCAACCCAUUCUUCAUGAAGAUAGGUAAGUGCUAAAGCAACAUCUUUGAUAAUCUUAAAUCUUUGAACCCAAUUAACAGUUACUUGUGCCUUAUUAUAGAUGAAUUUGUCAAGACUGGCGUUAGGCAUGUAAUCAUAGACCAAAAGGAGCUGACCUUCACCGCGACAAUAUCCAAGUAGUCGAACCAAAUUGGGGUGUCGUAGCCGGCCAAUGGUUGCAAUCUCGGCUACAAAUUCUUUCAUUCCUUGUUUAGAGUUGUGAGAAAUCCUCUUAACUGCAACUUGGGUUUUGGAUACAGGAAGCACACCUUUGUAUACCUCUCCAAAACCUCCCUUUCCAAGCAGCUCUGUCUCUCUGAAUCCUUUGGUAGCUGCAAAUAGGUCCUUGUAUGAGAACCUAUGAGGUCCAUAUUGAACCUCCCAAUCUUCUAUUAUCUCAGUGAAUUUGUCUUUCCUUUUCAUAGAUAGAAAAACAAUGAAGGAGAAUAUUAUGGCUGCCAAUACAACUCCAGAUAUGGACAAUCCAAUUGCUAAUUCCUUGCUUCUGCUUUUAGAUUGUUGGUUUCCAGGGACAGAUGGCAGUCUAGAUAGAUCAAGCUGAGCUUUCCCUUCCAUCUGAAAACUCCAACCCAGAACAUAAUGAGAUUGUACUAGUCGGCCAGUGGCGGAAGAAAACCCCACAUACAUCUGGUCCAAUAUUACUGGUGAAAUGUCUAUAUCCAAAGACAAAAGCGGAAGUCUUGGUUUGCUAAGGUGAAUCGGAGCUAAUGUAACAUUAAGUUGAUUGACUGUAGCAUCAUACUCCACCCAUGCCUGUAUUCGUUCUCCACUAACCAUACUCAGAUUCUGGAAUUCGCCAGUUGCAUCUUCAAAAUAACCUGCAGGGAAAGAUUUGACCGAUGUUAAGCUGUUGAUGUCAAUUCCAACAUGGUUAUCAUUGAUAUCAUUGAACUCUUGGUUUCGAAAUGUGUCGAGCUCAACAGCAACAAUAUGAUUGGAUGAAUUUCCAUUAUUUGUGCGGUUAAAUAACCCCAGAUGUUGGGAUGAUGCACCGGAUGAUAACUCCUUCGAGGGAGAAAUCACAAAAGCCAUGCCAUGGCCAUUUAAUUUGGACUCGUCAGUGACGAUGGCGAAAACAAAAGUCGUCGAAAACGAGAACGCCUUCCCGUUUGAUGAAUUCUUGACGGUUUGUGGUUGAGCGUAAAAAGCACGACCAACUGAAAAAUAUGUAGUGUUAGUGAGCCUAAAGAGAUUAUCCGCAGAGACCUCUGCUACCCCGGCAAGUUCUAUAUUUCCGUUGAAGCUGAAACCGCCCAUGCUGGCGGCUGCAACCCUGAUGAGAGCACCUAGCAUUAGACAUACUUCAAAUACUCUGAUCAUCAUUUUUGGUGGAAGUUGUGGUUUUGGACAUGGAAAGAAGCAAAACCCGCUCUGCUUCUCUGUUUC